GGGCCCGCACAAGCAGUGGAGCAUGUGGUUUAAUUCGAUGCAACGCGAAGAACCUUACCUGGUCUUGACAUCCUGCGAACUUUUUAGAGAUAGAAGGUGCCUUCGGGAACGCAGUGACAGGUGCUGCAUGGCUGUCGUCAGCUCGUGUUGUGAAAUGUUGGGUUAAGUCCCGUAACGAGCGCAACCCUUGUCCUUAUUUGCCAGCACGUAAUGGUGGGAACUCUAAGGAGACUGCCGGUGACAAACCGGAGGAAGGUGGGGACGACGUCAAGUCAUCAUGGCCCUUACGACCAGGGCUACACACGUGCUACAAUGGGGCGUACAGAGGGUUGCGAAGCCGCGAGGUGGAGCCAAUCCCAGAAAACGUCUCGUAGUCCGGAUUGGAGUCUGCAACUCGACUCCAUGAAGUCGGAAUC
rnacentral:rRNA from 1 species